rnacentral:rRNA from 1 species
GACGAACGCUGGCGGCGUGCUUAACACAUGCAAGUCGAACGGAAAGGCCCUGCUUUUGUGGGGUGCUCGAGUGGCGAACGGGUGAGUAACACGUGAGUAACCUGCCCUUGACUUUGGGAUAACUUCAGGAAACUGGGGCUAAUACCGGAUAGGAGCUCCUGCUGCAUGGUGGGGGUUGGAAAGUUUCGGCGGUUGGGGAUGGACUCGCGGCUUAUCAGCUUGUUGGUGGGGUAGUGGCUUACCAAGGCUUUGACGGGUAGCCGGCCUGAGAGGGUGACCGGCCACAUUGGGACUGGGAUACGGCCCAGACUCCUACGGGAGGCAGCAGGGGGGAAUAUUGCACAAUGGGCGGAAGCCUGAUGCAGCAACGCCGCGUGCGGGAUGACGGCCUUCGGGUUGUAAACCGCUUUCGCCUGUGACGAAGCGUGAGUGACGGUAAUGGGUAAAGAAGCACCGGCUAACUACGGG